GGUUAAGCGACUAAGCGUACACGGUGGAUGCCCUGGCAGUCAGAGGCGAUGAAGGACGUGCUAAUCUGCGAAAAGCGUCGGUAAGGUGAUAUGAACCGUUAUAACCGGCGAUGUCCGAAUGGGGAAACCCAGUGCAAUUCGUUGCACUAUCGUUAACUGAAUACAUAGGUUAACGAGGCGAACCGGGGGAACUGAAACAUCUAAGUACCCCGAGGAAAAGAAAUCAACCGAGAUUCCCCCAGUAGCGGCGAGCGAACGGGGAGCAGCCCAGAGUCUGAAUCAGCUUGUGUGUUAGUGGAACGGUCUGGAAAGUCCGACGGUACAGGGUGAUAGUCCCGUACACCAAAAUGCACAGGCUGUGAACUCGAAGAGUAGGGCGGGACACGUGGUAUCCUGUCUGAAUAUGGGGGGACCAUCCUCCAAGGCUAAAUACUCCUGACUGACCGAUAGUGAACCAGUACCGUGAGGGAAAGGCGAAAAGAACCCCGGCGAGGGGAGUGAAAAAGAACCUUAAACCGUGUACGUACAAGCAGUGGGAGCACCUUCGGGUGUGACUGCGUACCUUUUGUAUAAUGGGUCAGCGACUUAUAUUCUGUAGCAAGGUUAACCGUAUAGGGGAGCCGCAGGGAAACCGAGUCUUAACUGGGCGUUAAGUUGCAGGGUAUAGACCCGAAACCCGGUGAUCUAGCCAUGGGCAGGUUGAAGGUUGGGUAACACUAACUGGAGGACCGAACCGACUAAUGUUGAAAAAUUAGCGGAUGACUUGUGGCUGGGGGUGAAAGGCCAAUCAAACCGGGAGAUAGCUGGUUCUCCCCGAAAGCUAUUUAGGUAGCGCCUCGUGAAUUCAUCUUCGGGGGUAGAGCACUGUUUCGGCUAGGGGGUCAUCCCGACUUACCAACCCGAUGCAAACUACGAAUACCGAAGAAUGUUAUCACGGGAGACACACGGCGGGUGCUAACGUCCGUCGUGAAGAGGGAAACAACCCAGACCGCCAGCUAAGGUCCCAAAGUCACAGUUAAGUGGGAAACGAUGUGGGAAGGCACAGACAGCCAGGAUGUUGGCUUAGAAGCAGCCAUCAUUUAAAGAAAGCGUAAUAGCUCACUGGUCGAGUCGGCCUGCGCGGAAGAUGUAACGGGGCUAAACUGUGCACCGAAGCUGCGGCAGCGACACUAUGUGUUGUUGGGUAGGGGAGCGUUCUGUAAGCCUGCGAAGGUGGCCUGUGAGGGUUGCUGGAGGUAUCAGAAGUGCGAAUGCUGACAUAAGUAACGAUAAUGCGGGUGAAAAGCCCGCACGCCGGAAGACCAAGGGUUCCUGUCCAACGUUAAUCGGGGCAGGGUGAGUCGACCCCUAAGGCGAGGCCGAAAGGCGUAGUCGAUGGGAAACAGGUUAAUAUUCCUGUACUUGGUGUUACUGCGAAGGGGGGACGGAGAAGGCUAUGUUAGCCGGGCGACGGUUGUCCCGGUUUAAGCAUGUAGGCGGAGGUUCCAGGUAAAUCCGGUACCUUUUUAACGCUGAGGUGUGAUGACGAGGCACUACGGUGCUGAAGUAACAAAUGCCCUGCUUCCAGGAAAAGCCUCUAAGCAUCAGGUAACAUUAAAUCGUACCCCAAACCGACACAGGUGGUCAGGUAGAGAAUACCAAGGCGCUUGAGAGAACUCGGGUGAAGGAACUAGGCAAAAUGGUGCCGUAACUUCGGGAGAAGGCACGCUGAUAUGUAGGUGAAGCCCCUGCGGGUGGAGCUGAAAUCAGUCGAAGAUACCAGCUGGCUGCAACUGUUUAUUAAAAACACAGCACUGUGCAAACACGAAAGUGGACGUAUACGGUGUGACGCCUGCCCGGUGCCGGAAGGUUAAUUGAUGGGGUUAUCCGUAAGGAGAAGCUCUUGAUCGAAGCCCCGGUAAACGGCGGCCGUAACUAUAACGGUCCUAAGGUAGCGAAAUUCCUUGUCGGGUAAGUUCCGACCUGCACGAAUGGCGUAAUGAUGGCCAGGCUGUCUCCACCCGAGACUCAGUGAAAUUGAACUCGCUGUGAAGAUGCAGUGUACCCGCGGCAAGACGGAAAGACCCCGUGAACCUUUACUAUAGCUUGACACUGAACAUUGAGCCUUGAUGUGUAGGAUAGGUGGGAGGCUUUGAAGCGUGGACGCCAGUCUGCGUGGAGCCAACCUUGAAAUACCACCCUUUAAUGUUUGAUGUUCUAACGUUGGCCCCUUAUCGGGGUUGCGGACAGUGUCUGGUGGGUAGUUUGACUGGGGCGGUCUCCUCCCAAAGAGUAACGGAGGAGCACGAAGGUUAGCUAAUCCUGGUCGGACAUCAGGAGGUUAGUGCAAUGGCAUAAGCUAGCUUGACUGCGAGCGUGACGGCGCGAGCAGGUGCGAAAGCAGGUCAUAGUGAUCCGGUGGUUCUGAAUGGAAGGGCCAUCGCUCAACGGAUAAAAGGUACUCCGGGGAUAACAGGCUGAUACCGCCCAAGAGUUCAUAUCGACGGCGGUGUUUGGCACCUCGAUGUCGGCUCAUCACAUCCUGGGGCUGAAGUAGGUCCCAAGGGUAUGGCUGUUCGCCAUUUAAAGUGGUACGCGAGCUGGGUUUAGAACGUCGUGAGACAGUUCGGUCCCUAUCUGCCGUGGGCGCUGGAGAAUUGAGGGGGGCUGCUCCUAGUACGAGAGGACCGGAGUGGACGCAUCACUGGUGUUCGGGUUGUCAUGCCAAUGGCAUUGCCCGGUAGCUAAAUGCGGAAGAGAUAAGUGCUGAAAGCAUCUAAGCACGAAACUUGCCCCGAGAUGAGUUCUCCCUGAGACUUUAAGUCUCCUGAAGGAACGUUAAAGACGAUGACGUUGAUAGGUCGGGUGUGUAAGCGUAGCGAUACGUUGAGCUAACCGAUACUAAUGAACCGUGAGGCUUAACCUU
rnacentral:rRNA from 1 species